AACACUGUUAACCUGCGGUACCUGCGGAAGGAUCAUUACAGAGUUCGUGCCCUCGCGGGUAGAUCUCCCACCCUUGUGUAUUCUCUACAUCUUGUUGCUUUGGCAGGCCGUUGGUUCGCCAACCACCGGCUCGCGGGCUGGUGCGUGCCUGCCAGAGGACCUCUCAAACUCGGUUUGUUAGUGUCGUCUGAGUACCAUAACAAUCGUUAAAACUUUCAGCAACGGAUCUCAGAUCGGAAG
rnacentral:misc_RNA from 1 species